UACGAAGGGGGCUAGCGUUGCUCGGAAUCACUGGGCGUAAAGCGCACGUAGGCGGAUUCCUAAGUCGGGGGUGAAAUCCUGGAGCUCAACUCCAGAACUGCCUUCGAUACUGGGAAUCUUGAGUCCGGAAGAGGUGAGUGGAACUGCGAGUGUAGAGGUGAAAUUCGUAGAUAUUCGCAAGAACACCAGUGGCGAAGGCGACUCGCUGGACAAGUAUUGACGCUGAGGUGCGAAAGCGUGGGGAGCAAACAGGG
rnacentral:rRNA from 1 species